UACGUAGGGUCCGAGCGUUGUCCGGAAUUACUGGGCGUAAAGAGCUCGUAGGUGGUUUGUCGCGUUGUUCGUGAAAACUCACAGCUCAACUGUGGGCGUGCGGGCGAUACGGGCAGACUAGAGUACUGCAGGGGAGACUGGAAUUCCUGGUGUAGCGGUGGAAUGCGCAGAUAUCAGGAGGAACACCGGUGGCGAAGGCGGGUCUCUGGGCAGUAACUGACGCUGAGGAGCGAAAGCGUGGGGGGCGAACAGG
rnacentral:rRNA from 1 species